rnacentral:rRNA from 1 species
UACAGAGGCCCCAAGCGUUACUGAGAAUCACUGGGUUUAAAGGGUGCGUAGGUGGCGCCGUAAGUCGGGUGUGAAAUUUCGGAGCUUAACUCCGAACUGCAUUCGAUACUGCGGUGCUUGAGGACUGGAGAGGAGACUGGAAUUCAUGGUGUAGCAGUGAAAUGCGUAGAGAUCAUGAGGAAGACCAGUGGCGAAGGCGGGUCUCUGGACAGUUCCUGACACUGAGGCACGAAGGCCAGGGGAGCAAACGGG